AGUGAACGCUGGCGGUAGGCCUAACACAUGCAAGUCGAACGGCAGCACAGUAAGAGCUUGCUCUUACGGGUGGCGAGUGGCGGACGGGUGUGGAAUACAUCGGAAUCUACUUUUUCGUGGGGGAUAACGUAGGGAAACUUACGCUAAUACCGCAUACGACCUACGGGUGAAAGCAUGGGAUCUUCGGACCUUGCGCGAUUGAAUGAGCCGAUGUCGGAUUAGCUAGUUGGCGGGGUAAAGGCCCACCAAGGCGACGAUCCGUAGCUGGUCUGAGAGGAUGAUCAGCCACACUGGAACUGAGACACGGUCCAGACUCCUACGGGAGGCAGCAGUGGGGAAUAUUGGACAAUGGGCGCAAGCCUGAUCCAGCCAUACCGCGUGGGUGAAGAAGGCCUUCGGGUUGUAAAGCCCUUUUGUUGGGAAAGAAAAGCAGCAGGUUAAUACCCCGCUGUUCUGACGGUACCCAAAGAAUAAGCACCGGCUAACUUCGUG
rnacentral:rRNA from 1 species